GAUGAAGAACGUAGCGAAAUGCGAUAAGUAGUGUGAAUUGCAGAAUUCAGUGAAUCAUCGAAUCUUUGAACGCACAUUGCGCCUCCUGGUAUUCCGGGAGGCAUGCCUGUUCGAGCGUCAUUAAAAUCACUCAAGCUUAGGUUUACCUAUUGCUUGGUCUUGGAGAUGGAAGCCAAUUUAUUGGAAUCCUCUUCGAAAUUCAAUGGCGAAGACCCUUGCUCUCCCAAGUGUAGUAAUAACUUAUGUCACUGAAGGAAGCGAGAAAUCUUCUGCCGUAACCCCCAUAUUUUCUAUGAUUGACCUCGGAUCAGGUAGGGAUACCCGCUGAACUUAAGCAUAUCAAUAAGAGGAGGA
rnacentral:misc_RNA from 1 species